GGGACGAAGGUCACGAUUUCACACUGCCAAGAAAAGCCUCUAGCGAGGUGGAAGGCGCCAGUACCGUAAACCGACACAGGUAGGCGAGAUGAGAAUUCUAAGACGCGCGGGAUAACUCUCGUUAAGGAACUCGGCAAAAUGGUCCCGUAACUUCGGGAGAAGGGACGCUCCGCCUCAGGCGGAGCCGCAGUGAAUAGGCCCAAACGACUGUUUAGCAAAAACACAGGUCUCUGCUAAAUCGCAAGAUGACGUAUAGGGGCUGACGCCUGCCCGGUGCUGGAAGGUUAAGGGGAUGGGUCAGCGCAAGCGAAGCUCUGAACCGAAGCCCCAGUAAACGGCGGCCGUAACUAUAACGGUCCUAAGGUAGCGAAAUUCCUUGUCGGGUAAGUUCCGACCCGCACGAAAGGCGUAACGAUUUGGGCACUGUCUCAACGAGAGACCCGGUGAAAUCAUAGUACCUGUGAAGAUGCAGGUUACCCGCGACAGGACGGAAAGACCCCAUGGAGCUUUACUACAGCCUGAUAUUGGGGCUUUGUGCAUGAUGUACAGGAUAGGCGGGAGACGUCGAGCCCGGAGCGCCAGCUUCGGAGGAGUCACCCUUGGGAUACCGCCCUUCAUGCAUAGAGUCUCUAACUCGCAGCCGUGAUCCGGCUGGAGGACCGUGUCAGGCGGGUAGUUUGACUGGGGCGGUCGCCUCCUAAACAGUAACGGAGGCGCCCAAAGGUUCCCUCAGAAUGGUUGGAAAUCAUUCGAAGAGCGCAAAGGCAGAAGGGAGCUUGACUGCGAGACCUACAAGUCGAGCAGGGACGAAAGUCGGGCUUAGUGAUCCGGUGGUUCCGCAUGGAAGGGCCAUCGCUCAACGGAUAAAAGCUACCCUGGGGAUAACAGGCUGAUCUCCCCCAAGAGUCCACAUCGACGGGGAGGUUUGGCACCUCGAUGUCGGCUCAUCGCAUCCUGGGGCUGGAGUAGGUCCCAAGGGUUGGGCUGUUCGCCCAUUAAAGCGGUACGCGAGCUGGGUUCAGAACGUCGUGAGACAGUUCGGUCCCUAUCCGUCGUGGGCGCAGGAAAUUUGAGGAGAGCUGUCCUUAGUACGAGAGGACCGGGAUGGACGCACCGCUGGUGUACCAGUUGUUCCGCCAGGAGCAUCGCUGGGUAGCUACGUGCGGACGGGAUAAGUGCUGAAAGCAUCUAAGCAUGAAGCCCCCUCCGAGAUGAGAUUUCCCUUUGAGCAAUCAAGAAAGACCCCUCAGAGACGAUGAGGUAGAUAGGUCACGGGUGGAAGCAUGGCGACAUGCGGAGCUGAGUGAUACUAAUCGGUCGAGGCUUUGAUCU
rnacentral:rRNA from 1 species